AGCCCGCUCGCCGGAAGACCAAGGGUUCCUGUCCAACGUUAAUCGGGGCAGGGUGAGUCGACCCCUAAGGCGAGGCCGAAAGGCGUAGUCGAUGGGAAACAGGUUAAUAUUCCUGUACUUGGUGUUACUGCGAAGGGGGGACGGAGAAGGCUAUGUUGGCCGGGCGACGGUUGUCCCGGUUUAAGCGUGUAGGCUGGUUUUCCAGGCAAAUCCGGAAAACCAAGGCUGAGGCGUGAUGACGAGGCACUACGGUGCUGAAGCGACAAAUGCCCUGCUUCCAGGAAAAGCCUCUAAGCAUCAGGUAACAUCAAAUCGUACCCCAAACCGACACAGGUGGUCAGGUAGAGAAUACCAAGGCGCUUGAGAGAACUCGGGUGAAGGAACUAGGCAAAAUGGUGCCGUAACUUCGGGAGAAGGCACGCUGAUAUGUAGGUGAAGCGACUUGCUCGUGGAGCUGAAAUCAGUCGAAGAUACCAGCUGGCUGCAACUGUUUAUUAAAAACACAGCACUGUGCAAACACGAAAGUGGACGUAUACGGUGUGACGCCUGCCCGGUGCCGGAAGGUUAAUUGAUGGGGUUAGCGGUAACGCGAAGCUCUUGAUCGAAGCCCCGGUAAACGGCGGCCGUAACUAUAACGGUCCUAAGGUAGCGAAAUUCCUUGUCGGGUAAGUUCCGACCUGCACGAAUGGCGUAAUGAUGGCCAGGCUGUCUCCACCCGGGACUCAGUGAAAUUGAACUCGCUGUGAAGAUGCAGUGUACCCGCGGCAAGACGGAAAGACCCCGUGAACCUUUACUAUAGCUUGACACUGAACAUUGAGCCUUGAUGUGUAGGAUAGGUGGGAGGCUUUGAAGUGUGGACGCCAGUCUGCAUGGAGCCGACCUUGAAAUACCACCCUUUAAUGUUUGAUGUUCUAACGUUGGCCCGUAAUCCGGGUUGCGGACAGUGUCUGGUGGGUAGUUUGACUGGGGCGGUCUCCUCCUAAAGAGUAACGGAGGAGCACGAAGGUUGGCUAAUCCUGGUCGGACAUCAGGAGGUUAGUGCAAUGGCAUAAGCCAGCUUGACUGCGAGCGUGACGGCGCGAGCAGGUGCGAAAGCAGGUCAUAGUGAUCCGGUGGUUCUGAAUGGAAGGGCCAUCGCUCAACGGAUAAAAGGUACUCCGGGGAUAACAGGCUGAUACCGCCCAAGAGUUCAUAUCGACGGCGGUGUUUGGCACCUCGAUGUCGGCUCAUCACAUCCUGGGGCUGAAGUAGGUCCCAAGGGUAUGGCUGUUCGCCAUUUAAAGUGGUACGCGAGCUGGGUUUAGAACGUCGUGAGACAGUUCGGUCCCUAUCUGCCGUGGGCGCUGGAGAACUGAGGGGGGCUGCUCCUAGUACGAGAGGACCGGAGUGGACGCAUCACUGGUGUUCGGGUUGUCAUGCCAAUGGCACUGCCCGGUAGCUAAAUGCGGAAGAGAUAAGUGCUGAAAGCAUCUAAGCACGAAACUUGCCCCGAGAUGAGUUCUCCCUGAGACUUAGAGUCUCCUGAAGGAACGUUGAAGACGACGACGUUGAUAGGCCGGGUGUGUAAGCGCAGCGAUGCGUUGAGCUAACCGGUACUAAUGAACCGUGAGGCUUAACCUU
rnacentral:rRNA from 1 species